CCAUGGCAUGCUGAGAAGACAGGAACCCUAGCAGCUGAUGCUAAGUUCAGACUAAACUCACUGCAAGUCCCCGGGGAAAGUCACAAGAAAAUGCCUGUACUGUUCAUCACCUCUUAAAGAAGUCGGGAAAGGCCAGUUCAUGCAUGAAGGGGACGGACGAGGAUGACCACUCGUGUGGAUUGCUUGGUUUCACAGUCCCCUGCUCGAAUCCUUCCUCUUGCCUUGCUAUCACGAGAAACUUUAAUGGUUCAGCCCAACCAUUAAAACUAACAUUUCCGACGCAAGAAGAAAAGUAACUGGAAAUCGGGAAAUCCCUGAAGAAAUUUUCUGGACAAAGCGGUGGCCUCCGUUGAGACUCAAAGCAUAGAAGACGAGCUCUCUGCUGUGUCACAGGGACAAACCGCCUACUUCUGAGAGCUACUGAUUUCACAAGCCGCUGAAGGGAAGUUCACCAGGUCCCAGCAGCAAAAGCAGUGGAAACAGCUCACGCUUUCAGAAGUUGGCACAGGCUAUCACCUGGGAUUCCCUUCACUGUUACUGUCACGGAUGCCAUUAUUUCUGAGUUCCAAACAGGGCACCUGUGUCAAGCUGGAUAGGAACAGAGAGACACUCAAGUCACAGGAAGCCUGGACCUCUUUGACACUCACUGCGCGCUGACAGAUCCUCCCCCAGAAGACCCGACAGCAGCAAACACAUGCAUUGUUCUUCCUGUCAACCCGCUAUUGAAAGGUGAUCCACAGCUGAGCGGCAGUCGCCCUCGUUUGGGAGUGUUCGCGGGCAUGAGGCUGAAAGCUUAUUACCCCAGAAAGUGAAAGCCGAGAACACAAGUUCCUCAGAUCAGACUACAGCAUCAGGGGGCUGUCAGCUGCUUGAAGGGGAGAGGGGAACUGUCUCCAGCUGGGUAUUGAGGCUCCUCCUUCCUCCCUAAGUUCCUUUCCCACCCACCUCACCAUGGACAGCUCACCCCCAGAAAGCAGAGUCUAGAAAGCGCAGGGGUCUCCGUUACAGGGCUUUCAGAAGUUCUCCAAACAUGUGCCCCUAUGGAAGAAAGGGUCCCCCUGAAAUCAAGACGUGACCCAUCUCAGCAUCAUACAUUUGGUAACGUGUAGAACUUGACUCAGCAUUACUUGUUGAUCUACCUUCGCUAAACCAUGGGCUCCCUAAAGACCUGUUGAGGGUAGGAGCAUUGGCUUUGGUUGGGUCCAAGAGCUGGCUUCAUCAUCUUAUUCUCAAGGUCAGCUCUCAGAUCUUUCCACAACUCAAUUCCCUACACACUUAAAGAAAAAAUAUAAUUCUGUACGUCUAAAGUUCGUGUGUAGAUGCUGAUUCCCAGGCACCUUGUAUUUGACUGCAUUUAGAGAUAUGCUUCUUGAAGAGGUUAUUGUGAGCAAGUGAAGCACCAUUUGACAAUUAGAGGACAAGGACCCAUAUGCAUUCAGAGGAAAGACCACAAGGCGAUACAAGGAGGAGGAGGUGAUGGUUUCCAAGUCAAGGAAAGGGGCCUCAGUAGAAACCUAAUGAUGCCUUGGGUUUGAACUCGCAGCCUCUAGAACUGUAAGAAAGUGAAUCUCUGCUGUUUCCCCUUUCUUAGGGCUCAGUAGUCUCAGCAGCUGAUACCCAAUGCUGGGAGCUAGAGCUGCUUCAGCAGGAGUGAGCUGCAUCCUGUGCAAAACACUCAGAAGGGGAGCGGGGGCAGUUCUCAGUGGGUAGAGCACUUACUGCUCUUGCGGAGGACUCCAGUUCCAUU